rnacentral:rRNA from 1 species
UUGAACGCUGGCGGCAUGCUUUACACAUGCAAGUCGAACGGUAACAGGCCGCAAGGUGCUGACGAGUGGCGAACGGGUGAGUAAUGCAUCGGAACGUGCCCAGUCGUGGGGGAUAACUACUCGAAAGAGUAGCUAAUACCGCAUACGAUCUAUGGAUGAAAGCGGGGGACCGUAAGGCCUCGCGCGAUUGGAGCGGCCGAUGUCAGAUUAGGUAGUUGGUGGGGUAAAGGCUCACCAAGCCAACGAUCUGUAGCUGGUCUGAGAGGAUGACCAGCCACACUGGGACUGAGACACGGCCCAGACUCCUACGGGAGGCAGCAGUGGGGAAUUUUGGACAAUGGGCGCAAGCCUGAUCCAGCAAUGCCGCGUGCAGGAAGAAGGCCUUCGGGUUGUAAACUGCUUUUGUACGGAACGAAACGGCUCUGGUUAAUACCCGGGGCUAAUGACGGUACCGUAAGAAUAAGCACCGGCUAACUACGUG